AACGGUCCAAAGGCCAACCAAACGACAGCAGAACCUGGAAAAUCGACGGAGUCCCGCCUUCGACAGAUUUCGUGUAGACCUUGAAUCCCAUCAAAACACGAAAACACAUUCAAACACCACAACCACCAGAGCUCCAGAGGAAUUUCCUUUCUCUGGUAUUCUUUUUCUUCCUUGGGCUUUUCCUCUUUGAAGCUAUCUCUGUUCGCAGCUUUCUCCGCAAUGGCGAUGCAAGGAAGGCGGAGGCCCAAAACAAAGAUUGUCUGUACGUUAGGUCCUGCUUCAAGGUCAGUGCCUAUGAUCGAGAAGUUGCUGAGAGCGGGCAUGAAUGUUGCACGCUUCAACUUCUCUCACGGUUCUCACGCUUACCACCAAGAAACCCUUGAUAACCUCAGAACCGCCAUGGAGAACACUGGGAUACUCUGUGCCGUCAUGCUGGAUACCAAGGGACCAGAAAUUCGAACUGGGUUUUUGAAGGAUGGAAAGCCCAUUAAUCUGAAGAAGGGUCAAGAGGUAACCAUCUCUACCGAUUAUAGUAUCAAAGGUGAUGAGAACAUGAUUUGCAUGAGCUACAGAAAAUUAGCUGAGGACUUAAAGCCGGGAAGUGUGAUACUAUGUUCUGAUGGCACAAUUACACUCACUGUUCUGUCUUCUGACAGGAAGUUGGGUUUGGUUAAGUGCCGCUGUGAGAAUUCUGCUGUUCUUGGUGAAAGGAAAAAUGUCAAUCUUCCAGGAGUCAUUGUAGAUCUCCCAACUCUGACAGAGAAAGACAAGGAGGACAUCUUACAGUGGGGGGUCCCCAAUAAGAUUGACAUGAUUGCUCUAUCCUUUGUACGCAAAGGUUCAGACCUUGUUGAGGUCCGAAAGGUGCUUGGGAAGCAUGCCAAAAAUAUCCUUCUCAUGUCAAAGGUUGAAAAUCAAGAAGGGGUGGCUAAUUUUGAUGACAUUCUUGUGAACUCUGAUGCAUUUAUGGUGGCACGAGGUGAUCUGGAAAUGGAAAUUCCAAUUGAGAAGUUAUUUCUAGCACAAACAGUGAUGAUUUACAAAUGCAACAUACAGGGAAAACCUGUAGUCACUGCAACUCAAAUGUUGGAAUCUAUGAUCAAGUCUCCACGUCCUACUCGAGCUGAAGCCACUGAUGUUGCCAAUGCAGUUAUUGAUGGCACAGAUUGUGUAAUGCUUAGCGGGGAAACAGCUGCAGGAGCUUACCCUGAACUUGCUGUUCAGACAAUGUCCAGGAUUUGCAUAGAAGCAGAGUCCUCUCUUGAUUAUGGGGGAGUUUUUAAACGGAUCAUGCAAGCUGCACCAGUACCCAUGAGCCCAUUAGAGAGCUUGGCUUCCUCUGCAGUACGUACAGCCAACACGGCAAAAGCAGCUCUGAUCUUGGUUCUAACAAGAGGGGGAAGUACUGCAAAGCUGGUGGCCAAAUAUAGGCCUGCUAUGCCAAUCUUAUCUGUGGUGGUACCUGAGAUAAAGACGGAUUUUUUCACUUGGUUUUGCAGUGAUGAAGCUCCGGCAAGACAUAGCCUUAUUUUUCGAGGGUUGGUGCCUGUUUUAAAAGCAGGAUCUGCAAAGGCUUCUCAUACAGAAGCCACUGAGGAAGCACUAGAGUUUGCCCUUCAACAUGGAAAAGAGAAGGGACUCUGCAAGCCCGGGGAUGCAGUUGUUGCACUGCAUCGAGUUGGAACUGCAUCUGUUAUCAAGAUUUUGACAGUGAAGUGAUGAUCAUCUGAGGAGCCAGUUUGUUAUGGAUACUGAAAGAGAGGAGUGUUAGUUGCAGUUUAAUGGCUGGCAGUGCUUACAUUAAAUGAUGAUUUUGGUGAUUGAUGUCUUCUUUUUGGGCAUGUGUGGAAUGCUUGUGGGGUGUAAACGGAUCGUCACCCAUUGCUGCUAAUGCUCUUCGUCACCCAUGCCAAGUCGUCGACAACAACCGCAUCUUAGACAAAAACGACCUCAAUGUAGACAUCGAUCUUUGCUGAAAAGCUGCUAAUAAUACUAAAUUUUGUGAAGAAUGUUGCAGCAGCAGAGGUUUCUCCAACUUGUUCAUUCACCAUUUUGCCUCUACAAAGAUAUUAGCAUUAAACUUUGUCAAGGAAUGUUGGAACAGCAAGAUUUCUCAACUCCGGUUGCCAUUAAGAGAAGUACAGAAGAAGGCAACGAUGAGGGUUAGGGACUUCCGGUCUUAGGUUUAGAGUUGGAUUUUCAAAUGAGAAAGGAGAUUUCUUGGACAGUUUUUAAUGAUUUUUUGGGGAAGGGGAUUUGUUGGAGGAUGCGCCAGAUUUUUGAAUGAUAGAGAAGAUUUGUUGAAAAAUGUUUAGGGAA